GUGCUCGAGUGGCGAACGGGUGAGUAACACGUGAGUAACCUGCCCUUGACUUUGGGAUAACUUCAGGAAACUGGGGCUAAUACCGGAUAGGAGCUCCUGCUGCAUGGUGGGGGUUGGAAAGUUUCGGCGGUUGGGGAUGGACUCGCGGCUUAUCAGCUUGUUGGUGGGGUAGUGGCUUACCAAGGCUUUGACGGGUAGCCGGCCUGAGAGGGUGACCGGCCACAUUGGGGCUGAGAUACGGCCCAG
rnacentral:rRNA from 1 species